AACGAACGCUGGCGGCAUGCCUAACACAUGCAAGUCGAACGAGACCUUCGGGUCUAGUGGCGCACGGGUGCGUAACGCGUGGGAACCUGCCCUUAGGUUCGGAAUAACUCCCCGAAAGGGGUGCUAAUACCGGAUAAUGUAUUCGGACAAAAGAUUUAUCGUCUUUGGAUGGGCCCGCGUUGGAUUAGCUAGUUGGUAGGGUAAAAGCCUACCAAGGCGACGAUCCAUAGCUGGUGUGAGAGGAUGAUCAGCCACACUGGGACUGAGACACGGCCCAGACUCCUACGGGAGGCAGCAGUGGGGAAUAUUGGACAAUGGGCGAAAGCCUGAUCCAGCAAUGCCGCGUGAGUGAUGAAGGCCUUAGGGUUGUAAAGCUCUUUUACACGGGAUGAUAAUGACAGUACCGGGAGAAUAAGCUCCGGCUAACUCCGUG
rnacentral:rRNA from 1 species